GACGAACGCUGGCGGCGUGCUUAACACAUGCAAGUCGAACGGAAAGGCCCUGCUUUUGUGGGGUGCUCGAGUGGCGAACGGGUGAGUAACACGUGAGUAACCUGCCCUUGACUUUGGGAUAACUUCAGGAAACUGGGGCUAAUACCGGAUAGGAGCUCCUGCUGCAUGGGGGGGGUUGGAAAGUUUCGGCGGUUGGGGAUGGACUCGCGGCUUAUCAGCUUGUUGGUGGGGUAGUGGCUUACCAAGGCUUUGACGGGUAGCCGGCCUGAGAGGGUGACCGGCCACAUUGGGACUGAGGUACGGCCCAGACUCCUACGGGAGGCAGCGGUGGGGAAUAUUGCACAAUGGGCGGAAGCCUGAUGCAGCAACGCCGCGUGCGGGAUGACGGCCUUCGGGUUGUAAACCGCUUUCGCCUGUGACGAAGAGUGAGUGACGGUAAUGGGUCAAGAAGCACCGGCUAACUACGUG
rnacentral:rRNA from 1 species